rnacentral:rRNA from 1 species
GGCUGCUCGUUAUAAAGAACAGUCUGGCCUGCCCACUGAUAGUAUUAAAGGGCCGCGGUAUCCUGACCGUGCGAAGGUAGCAUAAUAAUUAGUCUUUUAAUUGAAGACCGGAAUGAAAGGUCGGACAAGAAGCAACCUGUCUCAAUUUGAACCGUUCAAAUUAACUUUUAAGUGAAAAGGCUUAAAUACUCUUGUAGGACGACAAGACCCUAUAAAACUUUAUACACUAACUUUACUCUUCAAUCUAUUUGUGAAAAGUCGGGUAACGGAAAGUGUAUUUCGUUGGGGCGACGAAAGUAUAACUAGUAACUGCUUUAUUUAAAUACACUUUUAAGUGAGUUAAUUGAUCCUUAAUAAAGAUUUUAAGAAAAAGUUACUUUAGGGAUAACAGCGUUAUUUUUUUUGAGAGUCCUUAUCGACAAAAAAGCUUGCGACCUCGAUGUUGAAUUAAAAUAACCUAAUGGUGCAGUAGCCACAGAGGUAGGUCUGUUCGACCUUUAAAAUUUUACAUGAUUUGAGUUCAAACCGGUGUAAG